rnacentral:lncRNA from 1 species
GCUUAUCACUCGGUCAGUGGUGUCUUGUUUGUCGUCGACACUGGUUGCACCGUUCCGUUUUCGCAUUCGUCGCGACGCUUUCGCGGGCUUUUCGAAUUUUGCCGAGGUGGGUUCGUUUCUCGUCCCGCGUGUGUGGUAGUGUUGGUGGUUGUGGUGGUUUAUCAGUGCCGCGAUUUUGGCGGAUUUCUUGCGGAUUACUGAUUUUUUCGGCGUGUGUUACGUUUGUGAGUGUGCGUGGAGCUACUUGGAUCGACCUGCUUUUGAAUAGCAUGGGAUCACGCGACGAAGCCACAGAUGCAAUCCCCUCGUGACCUCACCCGGACGAUACCUCAAACCGCGGCGACGAUGUCGGUCGUGCGCCCGGGUGUCGCAUCGCCAAAACUCCAGCAGGGAGCGACGCCGGUGCCUCCGUCAACCGCCGGUGGCGCCACCUCGCGGUGACACUCGCAGUGAAAGUGUUCCCCCGGGGAAACCGCCAUGAGCCAUCCGGCCCGGGAGCACCCAACCUCCACCGCUUAGGAUCGCACCGGGACCUCAAUCGCUCAGCCAUCCGGCUCGAAGGACCAACAUUCAGCCGACCGGUUUUGGGAACCAACAUUCAGUCAUCCGGCUCGAGGGACCAAAAAUUUCCUCGAAAAGCGUCAUCGUUCGGCAUCGUUGAGUCGCCAUUAACUCUAAGUGUCUCUAAAGAAGAGUGUCCUGGUUAAACAGAAGAAUCAAUCUACUCAACUGGUGGAUCAAACGAUAAUAUCCAUUCGGCUAGAUGCGAGCAAAAGUUAGGAAAAAGCAAGCUACGAACACUCAUUUACAGCUGUGUCGUGCGGUUUAGUUAAUCGAAUCACUUAAAUGUUACCUUAUAACUAGGCAGACAUACUGCCAACUUAAAUCUUAGAAUUAGAGCGAUUUUAGAAAUUAAUUCCGUGAGUCUGUGAUACAAAACGACGUGGAUAGCUUCCGUCGUCGCACAGCUUUUUAAGUCACCGAGUACCUGAUUACGUUGCGUUAGUUUACGUGACGGUAGUUUACGCUAGUUUUAAGUUCGGAAGAUAACGUAUGCGCGCGGAAAGAAGCACGAGGGCAGAGGAGAGGUAAAGCAGCACUUGGUCCAACAAAAUAAAUAAUGUUAAAUACGAGCAGAGCCUUGUUUACGAUCAGGGAAUCAAAAGAAAAUGAUAUUUGCUUUGAUCGCAUUGAGCUCGGCGGUAAAGGCCGGCGUGACUUUGGUUGGCGCGAGCGUGUGGUUGGUGCCGUUGCUGAUAGCAGCCAUCGCUUACUAUAGAUACGACAUGUUUGACCCGGAGAGCAGGAUCAAAAAUCAGGUUUGUAUGCUCUCUCACUACCUUUUAGUGUUUUUUUGAGCUUACAGAUACCAUAUUUUUAGGGGAAGAUUAAUGAGGGACUUGAAAGACAGGGCGCAUAAGUGCAGUUUUUAAAAAAAUUAAGAUAUUAAUGAUUUCAAGUAA